rnacentral:tRNA from 1 species
GCAUGUGGCUCAGUGGUAAAACACUUGCCUAGCAAGCAUGAGGCCCUGGGUUUGAUCCCCAGCACUGCG